AGGGAGUAGUGAAUAGUGAGUAGGGAGUAGUGAAUAGGGAGUAGUGAAUAGUGAGUAGGGAGUAGUGAAUAGGGAGUAGUGAAUAGGGAGUAGUGAGUAGGGAGUAGUGAGUAGUGAGUAGUGAAUAGGGAGUAGUGAGUAUGAAUAGAGUAGUGAGUAGGGAGUAGUGAAUAGGGAGUAGGGAGUAGUGAAUAGUGAGUAGGGAGUAGUGAAUAGUGAGUAGGGAGUAGUGAGUAGUGAAUAGGGAGUAGGGAGUAGUGAAUAGGGAGUAGUGAGUAUAGAGUAGUGAAUAGGGAGUAGUGAAUAGGAGUAGUGAUAGUGAGUAGGGAGUAGUGAGUAGGGAGUAGUGAGUAGGAUAGUGAGUAGUGAGUAGUGAAUAGAGAGUAGUGAGUAGGGAGUAGUGAAUAGAGAUUAGUGAGUAGGGAGUAGUGAAUAGUGAGUUGUGAAUAGGGAGUAGUGAAUAGUGAGUUGUGAAUAGGGAGUGGUGAGCAGUGAGUGAUUUAGGACACUGUGUGAGAUUGAUUGUGUCAGUGGUUUACAGUAACUGUGCUGCGAGCCGGAAACACAC
ensembl:lncRNA